CUAGGAGAGUUUAUACCAACGACAACCGUGUAAGUCGAAUAUUCAAAUUCUUCGAUCAAAAUUAGUGAAACUAUCAUCAUGAGACUCUUAGCCUUCUCGUUCUUAGUGAUGGCUAUUGUCAUCGGGUUAGUUUCAUGUGCUAAAAACGAAAUCUGCACGUUAUCGGACCCUCCGAUUUGUUUUUCAGUGCCGGAAUUUGAAUCAAGCGCAGAAAGUAAGAGUUCCGAGGCGUCCUAAUCUGCACGGAGCCUCCCACAUGGCCCAUGAAGAACGACUACGUUUGUAACAUCGUAAUCGAAGAAUUGAUUCCAAGAGCAAUUUUAAUUGAUUAUAAUAAAUUAUCUCGACAACAUUUCAUAAAAUUUUGUACUGUCUGGCUAUUUAUUUAUCAUGGAGAAUGCAUAGUACAAUAUACACAAUAAUAAAUGUCUGUUGAAGAAUUCAA